AGACAGGAAGAGGCGGAGCAAAGACGAGAGUUUCAACGUCAUUUUCCAGAAGUGAAAGUGUGAGAGAGCAGCACCAGAGCUGCAGUCGAGUCCCGUUUGUCUCUAAAAGAAUAUUCACCAGACUCCAUCAGGUUUCUGUCAGCAACAGUGAUUGCAGACAUGUCUGCUGCCAGCAAUAUGCGAUCUGAAGAUCAGUUUCUGUGCUCCAUCUGUCUGGAUGUGUUCACUGAUCCAGUCACUACACCAUGUGGACACAACUUCUGCAAAACCUGCAUCAGUCAGCACUGGGACACGAAUCAGAGGUGUCAGUGCCCCAUGUGUAAAGAGACUUUCUACACUAGACCUCAGCUGAGGGUCAACACCUUCAUCUCUGGGAUGGUCACUCAGUUCAGACGUGAAGUUCAGCAGACAGCCAGCAGCAGCAGCUCGGAGAAACAAGCUGCCAAACCAGGAGAAGUUCCCUGUGACUUCUGCACUGGAACCAGACUGAAGGCCCUGAAGUCCUGCCUUGUCUGUCUGACCUCCUACUGUCAGACUCACCUGGAGCCUCAUCAGACAAAGGAAGGUCUGAAAAGACAUCAGCUGAUUGAUGCUGUAGAGAAGCUGGAAGGCAGGAUGUGUACGAAGCACGAUAAACUUCUGGAGCUGUUCUGUAAGACUGACCAGAAAUGUGUCUGUGCGCUUUGCUCUGUUUUAGAGCACAAGAACCACAAGGUUGUUCCUCUGAAAGAAGAAUAUGAAGUAAAGAAGGCAGAGCUGGGGAAGACAGAGGCUGAGAUUCAGCAAAUGAUCCAGAAGAGACGACUGAAAAUUCAGGAGAUCAAAGAGUCGGUGAAGAUGAGUAAAGGUGCUGCACACAGACAGAAAGCAGAAGGUGUUCAGAUCUUCAAUGCUCUAAAGAAGUCUGUUGAGAGACUCCUGAAGGAGCUCAUAAAGGAGAUCGAAGACAAACAGGAAACUACAGAGAAACAGGCUGAAGGUCUCAUCAAAGAGCUGGAACAGGAAAUCUCUGAGCUGAUGGAGAGAAGUUCUAAGGUGGAGCAACUCUCAUGCUCUGAAGACCACCUCCACCUCCUCCAAAGCUUCUCCUCCCUGAAAGCUGCUCCACCCACCAAGGGCUGGACAGAGGUUAGAGUCCGUCCACCAUCAUAUGAGGGGACUGUGGGGAGAGCUGUGGCUAAGAUGGAGGAGACACUCUGGAAACCCAUGAAGAAGAAACUGUUUGAGGCUGAGCUGAAGAGGGUCCAGCAGUAUGCAGUGGAUGUGACUCUGGAUCCUGAUACAGCUCAUGCUAAACUCAUCCUGUCUGAUGAUGGAAAACAAGUUUAUCACAGGGAUGUGAAGAAGAAACUUCCAGACAACCCAGGGAGAUUUUCUUACUGUGCUAUGGUUUUAGGAGAGCAGAGUUUCUCUUCAGGCAGAUUUUACUUUGAGGUUCAGGUUAAAGGAAAGACUGAGUGGACUUUAGGAGUGGCCAGAGAGACGAUCAACAGGAAGGGAAAAAUCACACUGAGUCCUCAGAAUGGUUUCUGGACUGUAUGGCUGAGAAAUGGAAAUGAGUACAGUGCUUGUGAUAACUCUUUAGUCCGCCUCUGUCUACAUCCUGGUCCUGAGAAGGUGGGGGUGUUUGUGGAUUAUGAGGAGGGUCUGGUCUCCUUUUAUGAUGUAGGUGCUGCAGCUCUGAUCUACUCCUUUACUGGCUACUCCUUCACUCAGAAACUCCACCCAUUCUUCGAACCCUGUCUGAAUGAUGGAGGUUCCACAUGUCACAGUUGAAGUGGGGCAUUAAUCAGUGUGACACCACUUGAAAACAUGCUGCAUGUGUGGGGGUUCCCAGCCAGAGCUGCAUGGACUCCACACUGGUAAGGCACACUUUCUGUAGCUCCUCUCCCGGUAAUAAAUUAUAUGUUUAAAUCUGGUGUAUUUUUCUUUACUAUUAGUUCUCAUGGCUAAAGUGUUUUUGAUUACUUUGAACGAGGAAAAUAGUAAUUGGAACUGCCUUUUAUCUGUUACACCAUCCACUUAUGUGUUCCUUACUUGUGCUAAACAGGGAUGAGGAGAGGCCUGCUGUUGCUGUGUGACACGGAUUUUGCUCCUGCACUUUGUCUUUUAGGCAUGUGUAAAUGUAUAGGUUUUGUUUCAUGUGUAUAAUGAGUUCAUGAUCUGAGGCUGCACACUGAAUAGUAUUUUCAGGCAUGUUGGGAAAAGUUACAGUUGUUUGAAAAUGUAUUGUGUAAUUGAUCCAUCUUAGUGGGAAUUUAAAUAUUACAAGUUAUUAUUAGUGGCUUAUUUUUGACUACACCUUGCUUCAUAUUUGUCUCUGUUUUACCCCACUAUUACAUUUUAUUUUAAAGUGGCUGUUGAGAGAAACCACACCGUUGUUUUGAUAGAUUGUACUUUCUUUUAUAUAUUUUGAGCAGAGCUGCAUGGACUCCACACUGGGAUGAGGAAAGGCCUGCUGUUUCUGUGUGGCACUGAUUUUGCUGCUGCACUUUGUCUUUUAGAAAAUAAAUCCAGCCAGUCUGUGUCUGUCGUCACAACGCAGUCUUCCAUUUGAUAUCUGCUACAUAAAAGUGACCGUGCCCAGAUUCAUCUGAUCAGCCGCUGCCGAUCGCUGAGGUUGAGCUGGACACUUCUGACACCUGUGAUAUCAGCCAAAUUAUCUUGAGAAGUGUGGAGCGCCAGACAGCAGCCAGCAUGAGGAGUGCUGAGACACGGGAGCGGAGAGCACAAAGCCACGGACUUUUUAGGGAAAGAAAUGGAGAGCAUGGGGAUUUAUUGUCAUUUUUUCCACUUUCUGUAAAUAAACGCACUGCUAAUAUUCAGAGCUCCGCGCCUGGGUCCUCCUUCCUCAUAUCCCCACGGUUUGCCCUGGCAAACCUUGACAGUAUAGAGAGACAGAAUGAUUGCGGCAGUUAGUUUUUCACAGACAAACUCAUAGUUUGAAUUCUGUUCAAAUUGCUGGCUG